GCCUUCGUGGUGUAGUGGUCAACACGCUGGGUGCGUAUUCCGGAGGCCCCUGGUUCGAGUCCCGUCGAAGGCG
rfam:Stegodyphus mimosarum contig38907, whole genome shotgun sequence.